ACAUCAGAUCUCCAAAGCAGCUUUCUUUGUGCUAAUGUAGGAAGGGCGAGUAAGAGUAAAGACCCUUCUCUGUCCAUCGGCCUGUCCUGCCGACUCUGGUGUGAGUGUGAAGCUGUGGCAAGAGGGGUUUCCCGUUCCUGUUUGACCUGGUGGACACCAGCUUUCCUAGGAAAUUGCUGAUGUUGCUGAGGAGGCGGCAGUAUCAAAGGCCUUGUUGAUGAAGGUACAACAAGCUGGGGAGGCUUUGGCAUUUCUGCACAGUGCUGCUCCCUGACUGUCACUCCAGACUCAGAUUCUGAAAGAAGCAAAGCAAGCUAGAGGAAAACUGGAUGUCCAGGAUCCCAAACUCCGUAUUACAGCGGAUCUUCUCCUCUGAUCUGAAAAGCUUCACAAGCCAAAAGAGAAUUGAGAGGAAGAAGGAAACAGAGAAUGCUGACCAGUAUUUCCAAUUACCACCCGUAUUAGGUGAAGAAGAACACUGCAACCAGCUGAAGCCGUAUCGGACGCAUGCUUCUGCUAGG